GGGGAAACGGCAUUAUGUGCUUGCACAUUUUGGACGUCGACCGGCGCACGGGUGAGUAUCGCGUAUCCAACCUGCCCUUUACUUGGGGAUACCCCGUUGAAAGACGGCCUAAUACCCGAUGUAAUUCAUUGAUGGCAUCAGAUAUGAAUAAAAGAUUUAUCGGUAAAGGAUGGGGAUGCGUCUGAUUAGCUUGUUGGUGAGGUAACGGCUCACCAAGGCAACGAUCAGUAGGGGUUCUGAGAGGAAGGUCCCCCACAUUGGAACUGAGACACGGUCCAAACUCCUACGGGAGGCAGCAGUUAGGAAUAUUGGUCAAUGGGCGCAAGCUUGAACCAGCCAAGUAGCGUGCAGGAAGACGGCCCUAUGGGUUGUAAACUGCUUUUAUACGAGAAUAAUUUGAUGCACGUGUGCGUUAUUGCAUGUAUCGUAUGAAUAAGGACCGGCUAAUUCCGUGCCAGCAGCCGCGGUAAUACGGAAGGUCCAGGCGUUAUCCGGAUUUAUUGGGUUUAAAGGGAGUGUAGGCGGUUUGUUAAGCGUGUUGUGAAAUUUAGGUGCUCAACAUUUAACUUGCAGCGCGAACUGUCAGACUUGAGUACACGCAACGUAUGCGGAAUUCAUGGUGUAGCGGUGAAAUGCUUAGAUAUCAUGAAGAACUCCGAUUGCGAAGGCAGCAUACGGGAGUGUAACUGACGCUUAAGCUCGAAGGUGCGGGUAUCGAACAGGAUUAGAUACCCUGGUAGUCCGCACAGUAAACGAUGGAUGCCCGCUGUUAGCGCCUGGCGUUAGCGGCUAAGCGAAAGCA
rnacentral:rRNA from 1 species